rnacentral:rRNA from 1 species
UCUUGGUCAUUUAGAGGAAGUAAAAGUCGUAACAAGGUUUCCGUAGGUGAACCUGCGGAAGGAUCAUUAACGAAUUGUUGGACUGUGCUGGCUUCUUGCAUGUGCACGUCCAUAAUCCAUUACACCUGUGCACUUUAGACCUCAAGCCUGCUUAACUGCAGGUGAGAGGUAUUACUACACACUCUUUUUUAUGUAUGUGACAAUUGCAAAGGCACUUUUGUGUCGAUUAAUAAACAACUUUCAACAACGGAUCUCUUGGCUCUCGCAUCGAUGAAGAACGCAGCGAAAUGCGAUAAGUAAUGUGAAUUGCAGAAUUCAGUGAAUCAUCGAAUCUUUGAACGCACCUUGCACCCUUUGGUAUUCUGAAGGGUAUGCCCGUUUGAGUGUCAUUGUAAUCUCACACCCAAGACUUCUUGUCAAGGGAGGUGGACUUGGAGGUUGCUGCUGGUUUCCCAGUGGCUCUUCUUAAAUACAUUAGUGUGCUUGGGUUAAGCAUUACAACCAGUGUAAUAAGUAUUUCGCUGGGGCUUAGACUUGAUUGCAUGCUGCUAACUGUCUUAGGACUGUUACGCUUUAUUGUAACAUUUGACAACUUGACCUCAAAUCG